GUCCAGUUUCUGGAUCUUUCUAGAGUCGACUCGUUCGCUCAAAAUCAAUCAAAUUUGAUAAAUUUUGUAUUGUGUUUUGAUCAAUCGCCAUUAAUCAAAGCCUUUAAUUCAAGCUCUUCAGUGGGAUUUGGUUGCUGGACCUUGUAUCCUGUACAACUCCAAACAUGAGUUUUGUUUUCCGAGGCGCUAGAGCAGAUAUAGAACCUGGUUUUCCAGGAUUGAUCCCUGAGCGCCGUGCAGUGCGAGUCCAUGCUGGCCGUCCAGUUAAUACUAACUCACUAGCUUUUCUUGUCACAGUGCUCUUGCUGUUCAUGAUUCUGAAUUCUCAUCAAAUGUCACCAAACUUUCUGCUGUGGUUGGUGCUUGGUGUCUUCUUCAUGGCAACAACCCUAAGGAUGUAUGCAACGUGUCAGCAGCUUCAAGCCCAAGCACAAGCUCACGCUGUUGCUGCAAGUGGUGGCCUUCUUGGUCCUACAGAGUUGCGGCUGCAUAUGCCCCCAUCAAUAGCACUUGCAACCAGAGGACGGUUGCGAGGCCUCAGACUACAGCUUGCACUUCUUGAUAGAGAGUUUGAUGACUUAGAUUAUGAAACGUUGAGGGCACUGGAUUCUGAUGAUGCUCCUACAACCCCAUCAAUGACUGAGGAAGAGAUAAAUGCCCUUCCUGUUCACAAGUAUAAGGUUUCUGGACCACAAAGUGCUGGUACAUCAACACACCCAACAUCUUCUUCAGGGUCCACUGAGAAGAAGCAAGAACCUGCAAAUGCUGUAGGAGGUACAAAGAACUCAGAUGACGAACUAACUUGCAGUGUCUGCUUGGAGCAAGUCAGUGAUGGUGAACUCAUUCGUAGCUUGCCUUGCUUACAUCAGUUCCAUGCAAACUGUAUUGACCCAUGGCUACGGCAGCGGGGAACUUGCCCUGUCUGCAAAUUUAGGGCUGGGUCCAGGUGGGAUGAGAAUGAACAAGGCGGAGAAGAUGCUUAUGAUAUGGUGUAGUUUCAGCUUCGAUACACAGAUACAUAUAUAUAUACACAUCUAUAUAAACAAAUAUAUGCACCGCAGAAGCCUGUAUCGUCAAACGUCUGUUAUGGCACUCUGUAAUUGUGUAAACUAGCAGAAAUAUGUCACAUUGGUAAAUACUAGCUUAGUCUUAUAUCUUGUCAGGAUACCGAGGCGAGAUCCCUCAUUCGAGGUACACACAGCCAAUGAGCCUAAACAAUUGUUUCGUCGAAUGUGUCUGUUUGUUUCCUCCCAUCAUUGUGUUGUACUGGAAAAUUAUAUCUGGAAAUUUUAGCUGUCAAGAAUGUUU
rnacentral:misc_RNA from 1 species